UACGUAGGGACCAAGCGUUGUUCGGAUUUACUGGGCGUAAAGGGCGCGUAGGCGGCGUGGUAAGUCACUUGUGAAAUCUCUGAGCUUAACUCAGAACGGUCAAGUGAUACUGCUGUGCUAGAGUGCGGAAGGGGCAAUCGGAAUUCUUGGUGUAGCGGUGAAAUGCGUAGAUAUCAGGAGGAACACCGGUGGUGUAAACGGCUUUCUGGACCAUAACUGACGCUGAGGCACGAAAGCGUGGGUAGCAAACAGG
rnacentral:rRNA from 1 species